AAGAUUUAUUAAAACGACAACAAAUUGAGAGUUCAUUUAACAAUUCAUUGGUGUUCAUUAUUAAUUCAUUGUUAAAGACAAUAAUUGAGAGCUAUUUGAAGUUAUUCUAUAAUGCAUGGUACAUGGUCUAUGUGGAAUGCAAAAUCCUCAAGCGCCUUGCAUGGAAGAUGGUCGUUGUAUAAAGAAGUAUCUAAAGGUAUUUGUAGAAGAAACAACAAUAGAUGCCAAU
rnacentral:lncRNA from 1 species